AGUGAACGCUGGCGGUAGGCCUAACACAUGCAAGUCGAACGGCAGCACAGUAAGAGCUUGCUCUUACGGGUGGCGAGUGGCGGACGGGUGAGGAAUACAUCGGAAUCUACUUUUUCGUGGGGGAUAACGUAGGGAAACUUACGCUAAUACCGCAUACGACCUACAGGUGAAAGCAGGGGAUCUUCUGACCUUGCGCGAUUGAAUGAGCCGAUGUCGGAUUAGCUAGUUGGCGGGGUAAAGGCCCACCAAGGCGACGAUCCGUAGCUGGUCUGAGAGGAUGAUCAGCCGCACUGGAACUGAGACACGGUCCAGACUCCUACGGGAGGCAGCAGUGGGGAAUAUUGGACAAUGGGCGCAAGCCUGAUCCAGCCAUACCGCGUGGGUGAAGAAGGCCUUCGGGUUGUAAAGCCCUUUUGUUGGGAAAGAAAAGCAGCAGGUUAAUACCCCGCUGUUCUGACGGUACCCAAAGAAUAAGCACCGGCUAACUUCGUG
rnacentral:rRNA from 1 species